CUAAAAGUUCUCUAACACA
rnacentral:tRNA from 2 species